AGCAACUCAGGCGAUUUCAUCAUGGAUCUUUGAUGAUGAUGAACGACGAUGGCUGCGCUGGUGAAUCCUUGUUGCUGCUAUCGCUGCCUUUAAUCUCUGAUUGUGUCAACUGUUGUUUGUCUUCAGCAUCAUCUAUCGAAAGAGGCGUGUAUCUUGCAAAGCCCUCAUUGUUCCCGUGUUUUUUCGUCAUUUGUGAUGCUUGCUUCGGUGAAAAUCUGGGAUUCAAUUGAAGAAGCUCGCCUUUUCUAUGACUGGUUUAAGUAUUUCCAAACACAGAAAUGACCAUCAAUUUAAGUAUAAGCGGAUCACACGAAAUUCUUAGAAAAGUGUUGGUUGAAGGAAUCGCAGCUUUCGACACACCACUCAAACUAGACGUCGGCGCCUUAACUAAGCCAUCACUGAGGCUUAAGGUAUUUUAGGUGCUGAUGGACGACCAUCAUCGACAACAAUUCUUACAAUCUUGUAUGGGGCAUUCAUAAUCGGUGAGAACCUGUCUGCGUCAUCUAUAGACUAUUUUUCCUAUUCCACAAGGAAAAGGAUACUAUGUCUUGAACGACAUUUUUCGAUUUGUUGGUGUCGAAGAAUCUUCAACAGUUGUUGAGGAGAAGGUUGAUGAAAAUACUUCAGUUGCUUCUUUGGAUAUGCCAUUUUGCUUUGACACUAUAUAAAUAGGUCACUUGAUUGCUAUGACACUAUCUCAAGCUUGAUGUUUAUUGUCUGUUAUUGUUAAGGAUUUAAGUUAUAUACAACAAUAUUGUUAAGAUUUUGUUAUACUAUCAGUGUAGCUUAACCUAUUAUGAGGUGUUAAUGCUUAUAAUAGAGAUGUACUUAUAAUCACCUCUUGAAUGAAUUGAUUGCGUAAAUAUUUAACCUUUCAGUCUGUUGAACUUAAACUCGAUUUUAACUAUACUAUAUUGUUCCUUUUUGAAAUUACCAUUGCAUUCAGAACCAGCUACUGAAAGCAAAGCUGAAGAUAAUGUCAAAGCUAACGUCAAUGAAGUUUAUGAUAUAUCAGCGACUAAGGUGACAACUGAUGAUCAAGUUGGCAAGAAGAGCCUUCAAUCACUUCGAGCAAAAAAAAAAAAAAGAAGAAAAAUAGUUACUGAGACAGACCUAGUCGUUGGAGAAUGCGACUCCUAAAGCUAUGUACGCUUCAAUGGUUAGUUAUGCUUUUAGGGGGUCGUUUGGUUCACAUGCUACUUAUACGGAAAUUAUAAAGAUUUUCUUAGAGUUUCUUUACAUUUAAAGCUUUGCCUUAUUCGAAAUGUUACCCAUAGGUGAAGUAGGGCAGGUUUUCACCGAUUACGAAUGCCCCAUAUGAGAUUGUAAGAAUUGUUGCAUAUGAUGGUCUUUCAUCAGCACCUCAAAUACCUCAAGCCAAUGACGGCUCAGUUAAGGCGCCGACGUCUAGUUCGAGUGGUGUGUCGAAAGCUGCAGCUCCUUCAACUAAUGUUGCACAAGAAAUUUCAAUGAGAAAAUCUGAUGUAAAUUUGCAAUGCCUUAAAUCAAACAGUUGCUUAAAAUUUACCAUGUUUGACCAUUUUCUGAAUUGUUCGAUUACAGGAAAAUUGAUAUAUACUAGAGGAUUUCCAACCAACACAACAAGAAUGACCUCCAAGCCGUUGUCAAGCAGUUUGGAGCAGUUCAAAGUCGCGAUGUUCAAAACAAAAGUUAUGAGGUAUAUUUGUUUUACAUUGUUGUUGGUUAUUGUUAGUCUAUCAUUUAUUCAAACCUCUUUCUUGUUUACGAUAAAGCAUCUCAAUAGAAAAUUUUGCGAAUGUAGCAUGAAUACUGCUGUCAACUUGUGCAUUUUCAUAAUGUAAUUUCUGCUCAAACUGCAGUUCAUGUAAUGAGUUCUGCAAAGUCCUCUUUCUUCAAAACAUAUUCGAAUUUUGAUUUAGUUGAUCAUA